CCUACGGGCGGCAGCAGUAGGGAAUAUUGCUCAAUGGGGGAAACCCUGAAGCAGCAACGCCGCGUGGAGGAUGAAGGUUUUCGGAUUGUAAACUCCUUUUGUUAGAGAGGUUAAUGACGGUAUCUAACGAAUAAGCACCGUCUCACUCCGUGCCAGCAGCCGCGGUACUACGGAGGGUGCCAGCGUUACUCGGAAUCACUGGGCGUAAAGGGCGCGUAGGCGGGAUAGCAAGUCAGAUGUGAACUCCCAUGGCUUAACCAUGGAACUGCAUCUGAAACUGUUCUUCUAGAGUGUGGGAGAGGUAGGUGGAAUUCUUGGUGUAGGGGUAAAAUCCGUAGAGAUCAAGAAGAAUACUCAUUGCGAAGGCGGCCUGCUAGAACAUAACUGACGCUGAUGCGCGAAAGCGUGGGGAGCAAACAGGAUUAGAUACCCCUGUAGUC
rnacentral:rRNA from 1 species